UGGGGAACGGGUGAGUAACACGUGGGCAACCUGCCCAAAAGAGGGGGAUAACACUUGGAAACAGGUGCUAAUACCGCAUAACCAUAGUUACCGCAUGGUAGCUAUGUAAAAGGUGGCUAUGCUACCGCUUUUGGAUGGGCCCGCGGCGCAUUAGCUAGUUGGUGGGGUAAAGGCUUACCAAGGCAAUGAUGCGUAGCCGAACUGAGAGGUUGAUCGGCCACAUUGGGACUGAGACACGGCCCAAACUCCUACGGAAGGCAGCAG
rnacentral:rRNA from 1 species